UAAUCAGCUGACUGAAGGGUAGACAAAUCAGAUGUUCAGAUCAGCUGUUUAAUUUUAUCUGCAGUCUGCACUGACGUCAACUUUCCUGCUUGCCUCUUGCUUUGGAAGUUGGGUUCGGAAUACCUAUAAAUGUAUUUCUCCACGAUGUCAGUUAUUCGUUUAACUAGAGUGUUUAGAAAUCUAAAAAGUUUGAAUAGUUGUGGAGUAUGUGUAGUUAAUAGAAUGAAAACUACUUCAGCUACUGGUGCUAUUCUUUCAGAACCAAAACGUACCCCUUUUGGGCUAGUGGGGGUUGUUUGUGCAGUAGUGCCAGGUUUAUUGAUUGGGGCUGCUAUAAGUAAAAACAUUGCCAAUUUUUUGGAAGAAAACGAUCUUUUCGUUCCUUCAGAUGACGACGAUGAUGACGAUUGAAUUAUAGUACCGCAAAUCAUAACCCAAAUAUUGCAAAUGUUACCAAGUUUUUACCUUUCAAUCCUCUUUUAUUACAGUUUUAUAGUAGCCUAAAAAGUUUUCAAAAUUCAUUCAAUAGUUUAAUAAUUGAAAUAAUUAUUGGUGCUCUGUGGAAAUAAUCUCAUUUGUUGACUGCAGUGAAGAGGAAAAAACUUAUCUGAGAGGCUUGUGUACAAGGAAAUUGUUCUUGAAAGGAAAACUGUACAAAAUAAAGAAGCUGGUCUAAAAAACGAAAAUCGACUCCAAACAGAGGUAUACUAUGCACAACGUUUUGUUGGGUCACUGGUUUUUUUUGGGACUGUUUCUGAAAACUUAAAUUUAUUACCGGUAUAGAUUUUAGCUUUAAUCUUUUUAUGUAUAUUAUACUAGUUUUAAUCUUGUAUGAUACACAUAAUUCAUACCUUGCCUCUGUACUUAUCAAUAUAUUAUUGAAAUUUUA